AUGGAUAAUUUUUAUAAUACUUAAAAUGGAUAAAAUUAUAUAUGUAUUAAUGUAUAUUCAAACACAAAAUAACAUAUAUUCACAAAUGUAUUUACAUAUACACACACAAUCAUAUAUACAUGCAUACUAUACAUAUUUAUAAAACACACACCCAUAUUACACAUAUUAAUUACACACUCACACAUCUUAAAACCUGGUUUCCCAUUCAAUACUAGUCACACAAAUUUACAUUCUCAUACUCAUCCCACAUACACCAGGUAUCUAUAUAUACACCUUCACACACAUACGAUUAUAUAUAUAUUCACACACAGUAGAUACUAUACAAAUAUAUGUAUUCACAUUCAUAAUAGAUAUUAUACAUAUAUACCUUUACACGGUAUAUAUAUGUAUACAUGUAUGUUUAUAUAUAAAUACACAACACACAUAAUUGUGCAGAUUUAAACUUAUAUACAUUUAUGUACACGUACACACAUAGUACUAAUAUAUAUAAGUGUACGCACUUACACGCCCGAACAUAUAUACAGUGUUUAUAUAUAUAUAACCACUUCCACACACAGGAUAACAUAUAUAUACACAUACGUACGCAUAACAACAAAUAUAUAUAUGUAUUUGUACACACACACACACUCAUAUACACAAUUUAGAUAUUUAUGAUUUAAUAUAAUAUAUAUUUAUGCACAUAAUAAUAAACAUUCACACAUAUAUUUUUAUAUAUAUACACAUACACACAGUUUACAUGUAUAUACUUACGUAUAUACAUACAGAAUAUUAACCCAAAUCUUACCUAAAGUUUGAUCAGAAAAAGGAGUUGAGAUCAUUAGUGGAUUCGGGUCUAAGGUUUUCUCCAAAUCCUAGCUACCCUUCGGAUAAUUUUUUGGUUUUAAAAAUAGAAAAUAUAUGAAUAAAACGACUAACAAUUUCAGAAUUAAACACAAUAUGAAAGGAAGAAUUGUUUUUUACCUUGGACAUGUGGUCCUAGUCGCUGGAGUCACUGCGUGUCACCACACGCACGUCACCGAGAUCACCACACGCCACCACACACAUCAUCACUAGGAUCACCACGCGGCGCCACAUGCGUCGUCACCGGGAUCACCACGCACCGCCAAAUUUGAACGAAAAUCACAGAGAACUAUGGUGAGUUCAGAUCCGGAAUUGAUCUCGUGAAAUAUCGCCGAAAAUUGCUAAGAUCUAGUUUUCAUGCAUCCGACCAUUGUGGAUCCUCUUCCUCGGAUAGAUUCAUCGCAUGUCCCCCCCUUUCCGACUUCUGCACGACCGUCUGGCCUCAUGGUCGCGCGCCAAAGGGAGCUGCAACAACCGACCACAUCUUCUCUGCCGCGCGAUUCCUUUUCUCCAAGUCGUGCAUAACCUCCUUCUGUCGCGGAUCUGCUCAAGUCGUUUGCCCUCCCUUUCCGACUUCUACACGACCUUCUGGCCUCAUGGUCGUGCGCCAAAGGGAGCUGCAACAACCGAUCACAUCUUCUCUGCCGCGCGAUUCCUUUUCUCCAAGCCGUGCAUAACCUCCUUCUGUCGCGGAUCUGCUCAGGUCGUUCGUCGCACCGAUCUUGCUGAGAAAUCAAAACUUUCAGAAUUUAUAGGUUGGCCCCUCUUUGAAGAUUUUAUUAUUUAAGUCCUUUUUAUUUUAUAGAGGGCCCCCAAUUUUAAAUUUUUUCUUCAUUUAAGACCCUAAACCCCUAAUUUAUAAUUUUUCGUGUUUAAUUUAAUUUUUUUAAUUUUCUUCGGGUUUAUUAAUCAAUUGUCUAUAGGCGAGCGUUGUACUAUCAACAUAAAAAUAAAUUGCUUGACAAAGGAGUACUAAC
rnacentral:lncRNA from 1 species